rnacentral:rRNA from 1 species
CUCAGAUUGAACGCUGGCGGCAGGCUUAACACAUGCAAGUCGAACGGUAACAGAGAAUAGCUUGCUAUUUUGCUGACGAGUGGCGGACGGGUGAGUAAUGCUUGGGAAUUUGCCGAAAGGUGGGGGACAACAGUUGGAAACGACUGCUAAUACCGCAUAAUGUCUACGGACCAAAGGUGGCCUCUAUUUAUAUGCUAUCGCCUUUCGAUGAGCCCAAGUGGGAUUAGCUAGUUGGUAAGGUAAUGGCUUACCAAGGCGACGAUCCCUAGCUGGUCUUAGAGGAUGACCAGCCACACUGGAACUGAGACACGGUCCAGACUCCUACGGGAGGCAGCAGUGGGGAAUAUUGCACAAUGGGGGAAACCCUGAUGCAGCCAUGCCGCGUGUGUGAAGAAGGCUUUCGGGUUGUAAAGCACUUUCAGCGAGGAGGAAAGGGUGUUGCUUAAUACGUAACAUCUGUGACGUUACUCGCAGAGAAGCAGGU